GUAGUAGCAAAUACUCGAGCGAGGGCCUUGAGGGCUGAUGUGGAGAAGGGUUUCGUGUGAACAGCCGUUGCACACGAGUCAGUCGAUCCUAAGCUCUAGGAGAAAUCUGAUGUAUGCGGGCCACAAACUCCCGCGAGCGAAAGGGAAUCCGGUUCCUAUUCCGGAACCCGGUAGCGGAACCGACCCACGAGGGCCCCCCCGCCCCUUAACCGGGGCCGAGGGAAGCUCACGCGGUAACGCAAACGAACCCGGAGAAGCCGUCGGGAGGCCGGGGAAGAGUUUUCUUUUCUCUAUGAGCGCUCGUGUUCCCUGGAAUUCUCUAGCAGAGAGAUAGGGUUUGGAGCCGCGAAGAGCACCGCAGUUGCGGCGGUGUCCCGGUCGUCCCCUCGGACCUUGAAAAUCCGGGGGUGGGCUACGUGGAGUUUCGCGCCGGAUCGUACCCAUAUCCGCAGCAGGUCUCCAAGGUGAAGAGCCUCUAGU
rnacentral:rRNA from 1 species